CACGGAGGAGGCUCGCGUUCUUCGGAAUUACUGGGCGUAAAGCGCACGUAGGCGGAACGGACAGUCAGAGGUGAAAUCCCAGGGCUCAACCUUGGAACUGCCUUUGAAACUAUCGGUCUGGAGUUCGAGAGAGGUGAGUGGAAUUCCGAGUGUAGAGGUGAAAUUCGUAGAUAUUCGGAGGAACACCAGUGGCGAAGGCGGCUCACUGGCUAGAUACUGGCGCUGAGGUGCGAAAGCGUGGGGAGCAAACAGG
rnacentral:rRNA from 1 species